rnacentral:rRNA from 1 species
CGCACAUAAGACAUGCAAGUCGAACGAGAAUCGUUAAAAACGGAUUAGAAGAUUAUCAGAUUGAAGUUUUAACAAUGGUUCUAGUGGCGGACUGGUGAGUAACACGUAAGCAACCUGCCUAUUAGAGGGGGAAUAACAGUGAGAAAUCAUUGCUAAUACCGCAUAUGCUCACAGUACCACAUGGUACAGUGAGGAAAGGAGUAAUCCGCUAAUAGAUGGGCUUGCGUCUGAUUAGAUAGUUGGUGGGGUAACGGCCUACCAAGUCAACGAUCAGUAGCCGGACUGAGAGGUUGAACGGCCACAUUGGGACUGAGAUACGGCCCAGACUCCUACGGGAGGCAGCAGUCGGGAAUAUUGCGCAAUGGAGGAAACUCUGACGCAGUGACGCCGCGUGCAGGAAGAAGGUUUUCGGAUUGUAAACUGCUUUAGUCAAGGAAGAUACAAGACAGUACUUGAAGAAUAAGCACCGGCUAACUAUGUGCCAGCCGCAGC